AACGAACGCUGGCGGCAUGCCUAACACAUGCAAGUCGAACGAGACCUUCGGGUCUAGUGGCGCACGGGUGCGUAACGCGUGGGAACCUGCCCUUAUGCUCGGAAUAAUUCCCCUUCAGGGGUGCUAAUAUCGGAUAAUGUCUUCUGACCAAAGAUUUAUCGCCCUUGGAUGGGCCGGCGUUGGUUUAGCUAGUUGGUAGGGUAAAAGCCUACCACGGCGACGAUCCAUAGCUGGUCUGAGAGGAUGAUCAGCCACACUGGGACUGAGACACGGCCCAGACUACUACGGGAGGCAGCAGUGGGGAAUAUUGGACAAUGGGCGGAAGCCUGAUCCAGCAAUGCCGGGUGAGUGAUGAAGGCCUUAGGGUAGUAAAGCUCUUUUACCCGGGAUGAUAAUGACAGUACCGGGAGAAUAAGCUCCGGCUAACUCCGUG
rnacentral:rRNA from 1 species